rnacentral:rRNA from 1 species
UACGUAGGGGGCAAGCGUUGUCCGGAUUUAUUGGGCGUAAAGAGCGUGUAGGCGGCCUUACAGGUCAGCUGUGAAAACUCGAGGCUCAACCUCGAGACGUCGGUUGAAACCGUAUGGCUAGAGUCCGGAAGAGGAGAGUGGAAUUCCUGGUGUAGCGGUGAAAUGCGCAGAUAUCAGGAAGAACACCCGUGGCGAAGGCGGCUCUCUGGGACGGUACUGACGCUGAGGUGCGAAAGCGUGGGGAGCAAACAGG